rnacentral:rRNA from 1 species
AAGACCUUGCACUUUUGGAGCGGCCGAUGUCUGAUUAGCUAGUUGGUGGGGUAAUGGCCUACCAAAGCUUCGAUCAGUAGCUGGUCUGAGAGGACGGCCAGCCACACUGGGACUGAGACACGGCCCAGACUCCUACGGGAGGCAGCAGUGGGGAAUUUUGGACAAUGGGCGCAAGCCUGAUCCAGCCAUGCCGCGUGAGUGAAGAAGGCCUUCGGGUUGUAAAGCUCUUUCAGCCGGGAAGAAAAGGUUGCGACUAAUAAUCGCAAUCCAUGACGGUACCGAAAGAAGAAGCACCGGCUAACUACGUGCCAGCAGCCGCGGUAAUACGUAGGGUGCGAGCGUUAAUCGGAAUUACUGGGCGUAAAGGGUGCGCAGGCGGUUUUGUAAGUCAGAUGUGAAAGCCCCGGGCUCAACCUGGGAACU